rnacentral:lncRNA from 1 species
UUACUGAAUGGACCAUAUGCAGCCAUUAUGGGGGCAGGGUUUUAACUUGGAAGGAAGGAGUUGCAGGUGCCACAUAGACUGCUAGGUAUUCUCAGCAGUUUCCUAAUUAACUAACGAAGGACUGGGUGGAAGGAAGGAGGAGUUCCUGGAGAGAAUUAGAUAAUUCACAAAUGCCUGAGGCUCAGAAGUGGUGGCAGUUUUGUAGUUAUUCCCUAGACAGGUCAUGGUCAAAAAACAUAAUACUAUUUUAAAUUUAAUGAUAAUUUUUGUCGUUCUAAAUAUAGAUCUUCAGGUAUUUCAACUUAGGGGGAAAGCUAUCUGUGAAGCCUCUUAGGUUUCAUUGCCAAUGUGAACUUCUUACUGUCCAGGGAGAUCUGUGAGACAGUGAUUCCCUAAGAAAGACCUGGGCUGACUGGGGGGGGACUGCUGUGGAUAACCGGAAUCCCACUACCAACAGAUCAAAGAGCUGCAAACCAAGCUGCGAGAGCUGCAGCUGCAAUACCAGGCUAGCAUGGAUGAGCAGGGGCGGCUUCUGGCGGUGCAGGAGCAGCUGGAAGGACAGCUGCAGUGCUGCCAGGAAGAACUCCGCCAGCUCAAAGAAAACAGGUCCUCCUUUAGCUCAGAAGCCAGGGGCAAGCAUGUCCUUAAGAAUAUGAACAAGAAUGCCAAUGGAGUUAGAGAUCAGGUGGGCAAGGCUUGCUCAGAGGACUUGGAGAACGAUUUUGAGGAUGAAAAGGUGAGUUUCUCAAAAGUUUGCAGCCUUAGAA